GAUGAACGCUGGCGGCGUGCCUAAUACAUGCAAGUCGAGCGAACAGAUGAGGAGCUUGCUCCUCUGACGUUAGCGGCGGACGGGUGAGUAACACGUGGAUAACCUACCUAUAAGACUGGGAUAACUUCGGGAAACCGGAGCUAAUACCGGAUAAUAUAUUGAACCGCAUGGUUCAAUAGUGAAAGACGGUUUUGCUGUCACUUAUAGAUGGAUCCGCGCCGCAUUAGCUAGUUGGUAAGGUAACGGCUUACCAAGGCAACGAUGCGUAGCCGACCUGAGAGGGUGAUCGGCCACACUGGAACUGAGACACGGUCCAGACUCCUACGGGAGGCAGCAGUAGGGAAUCUUCCGCAAUGGGCGAAAGCCUGACGGAGCAACGCCGCGUGAGUGGUGAAGGUCUUCGGAUCGUAAAACUCUGUUAUUAGGGAAGAACAAAUGUGUAAGUAACUAUGCACGUCUUGACGGUACCUAAUCAGAAAGCCACGGCUAACUACGUG
rnacentral:rRNA from 1 species